GGGAUUGCCCUAGUAACGGCGAGUGAAGCGGCAACAGCUCAAAUUUGAAAUCUGGCUCUUUUAGAGUCCGAGUUGUAAUUUGCAGAGGGCGCUUUGGCGUUGGGAGCGGUCCAAGUUCUUUGGAACAGGACGUCACAGAGGGUGAGAAUCCCGUACGUGGUCGCUAUCCUUCGCCGUGUAAAGCCCCUUCAACGAGUCGAGUUGUUUGGGAAUGCAGCUCUAAAUGGGAGGUAAAUUUCUUCUAAAGCUAAAUACUGGCCAGAGACCGAUAGCGCACAAGUAGAGUGAUCGAAAGAUGAAAAGCACUUUGGAAAGAGAGUAAAAUAGCACGUGAAAUUGUUGAAAGGGAAGCGCUUGCAGCCAGACUUGCCUGUAGUUGCUUAUCUGGACUUUUGUCCAGUGCACUCUUCUGCGGGCAGGCCAGCAUCAGUUUGGGCGGUUGGAUAAAGGUCUCUGUCAUGUACCUCCUUUCGGGGAGGCCUUAUAGGGGAGACGACAUGCAACCAGCCUGGACUGAGGUCCGCGCAUCUGCUAGGAUGCUGGCGUAAUGGCUGUAAGCGGCCCGUCUUGAAACACGGACCAAGGAGUCUAACAUCUAUGCGAGUGUUUGGGUGUCAAGCCCAGACGCGUAAUGAAAGUGAACGGAGGUGGGAACCUUUUAGGUGCACCAUCGACCGAUCCUGAUGUCUUCGGAAGGAUUUGAGUAAGAGCAUAGCUGUUGGGACCCGAAAGAUGGUGAACUAUGCUUGAAUAGGGUGAAGCCAGAGGAAACUCUGGUGGAGGCUCGCAGCGGUUCUGACGUGCAAAUCGAUCGUCAAAUUUGGGCAUAGGGGCG
rnacentral:rRNA from 1 species